AUUGUAUCUUACCAUGAUAUCCUACAAAAAAGAUCAUGGAAUUAGAAGGAAGAUAAAUCAACAACUUUAAAACAUGAAACAGAAAACUGCAAUGCUAAGUGCCAAUAAAAUUAUAAAGCAUUCAUGAUAUAUAACCAUCAAUAUAAUCUAACAAUCAUCCAAAAUAGUUCGCUAAAUUGACAUGCAAAGAACCUAGAUUAAAACUAAGGUUCAGUUCCAUAAAAAAAAA
rnacentral:misc_RNA from 1 species